rnacentral:rRNA from 1 species
AACGAACGCUGGCGGCAUGCCUAACACAUGCAAGUCGAACGAUCCCUUCGGGGAUAGUGGCGCACGGGUGCGUAACGCGUGGGAACCUGCCCUUAGGUUCGGAAUAACUCAGAGAAAUUUGAGCUAAUACCGGAUAAUGUCUUCGGACCAAAGAUUUAUCGCCUUUGGAUGGGCCCGCGUUGGAUUAGCUAGUUGGUGGGGUAAAGGCCUACCAAGGCGACGAUCCAUAGCUGGUCUGAGAGGAUGAUCAGCCACACUGGGACUGAGACACGGCCCAGACGCCGAAGAGAGGCAGCAGUGGGGAGUAGUGGAAAAUGGGCGAAAGCCGGAGCCAGACAAGCCCCGGGGGUGAAGAAGGCCUUUGGACUGGAAAGAACAGUAAGGGGGGAGGAAGGGCAGCAACGGAAUACCUUGCUGUGUUGACGUUCCCAACAGAAGAAGCACCGCCUACCUUCAUG